AGGAGUAGUUGGUGUAUAAAUUAGUAGAAGGCAAGAAAGAAGAAUGUUAACAACCUAUACGUGUUCGCUGCAAAUGGCUGCAACUGCAUGGUUCCCGGCCACUCCAUCUUCCUUCUAUUCCAAACCAUUUUUCACAAUCACAUGCAAAGCUCACAACCCUCUCGCACUUUCUUUUACAAAAAUCGAACAAGAGCCGCUUGCACUCUACUCCUCCGUCCAAGCCUUUGCUCCCGCCACCGUCGCCAAUUUAGGUUCCGGCUUCGAUUUUCUAGGCUGUGCUGUUCAUGGUAUCGGCGACACGGUCUCGGUGAAGGUCGACCGUCAUGUUCGUCCAGGUGAGAUAUCUAUUUCCGAUAUUUCAGGCCAAUGUCCGGAUGUCCAUAAACUCAGCAAAAAUCCUCUUUGUAACUGUGCCGGUAUUGCCGCAAUCGAGGCUAUGAAAAUGCUCGGCAUUCGUUCUGUAGGUCUUAGCAUUUCGCUGGAGAAGGGUUUGCCUUUAGGGAGUGGGUUGGGGUCCAGUGCGGCUAGCGCAGCUGCGGCUGCCGUUGCGGUUAAUGAGAUAUUCGGGAAGAGAUUGAGCGUGGAGGACCUUGUUCUUGCAUGCUUGAAAUCCGAGGCAACGGUAUCUGGUUAUCAUGCUGAUAAUGUCGCACCCUCAAUCAUGGGGGGAUUUGUUCUCAUUAGGAAUUAUGAACCGCUGGAGUUGGUGAGGUUGAAGUUCCCGUCCGAAAAGGAGCUUUAUUUUGUAUUGGUCACACCUGAAUUCGAAGCCCCUACAAAAGAGAUGAGAGCGGCACUGCCUUUAGAGAUAGGGAUGCCGCAUCAUGUCUGGAAUUGUAGCCAGGCAGGGGCUCUGGUGGCUGGAGUUUUACAGGGAGAUUUGCUCAUGUUGGGGAAGGCGUUGUCGUCGGAUACAAUUGUUGAACCGAAGCGUGCAGCGUUGAUUCCAGGGAUGGUUGCUGUGAAGAAGGCUGCUAUUGAAGCCGGAGCUUUCGGAUGCACUAUCAGUGGUUCUGGACCUACUGCUGUUGCUGUCACGGAUGAUGAGGAAAAGGGACGCCUCAUUGGCCAACAGAUGGUUCGGGCUUUUCAAAAGCAUGGCAACUUGAAAGCUUCUGCUAAUGUUAAUCAGCUUGAUCGCCUCGGUGCUAGACUUCUUAGCGGCGUUCCUUCAAAUUGAUAUAAUUCAAUUUCAGUGUAGCUGCUUUGCUGGUAGGAGGUGGGUCAGUAGGUAUGCCCCAUUUCUACCAUAAUCAUAGUCAUGAUGAUUACCGAUGAUGAUUCAAUCUCCAAAAUUUUGGAUGGUUCAUUUCAUAUCAUACUUGCUUCUAUUAAAAUGGUUAUGCAUUCUCUUGGACAAUUCACUAAAAGAAACUAAGGAAAGGUUAUGUUUUGUUUAUAAUGUUUGUUUGUGGUGGUGGUGGUGAUGAUGCAAAGCACUUUGUGUGCUCUAUUUUUGUUUGUUUCUUGAAGUUUUGAAGCCUUUACAGAGCAAAUAGAAAGAAAUGAUUGUGUGAAUAUUCUCUUUGUUAUUGGUAACUGAUGCCACUUGUUGUAUGAGAAUGUAAUAUUGUUAUUCUAUGGGGUACUCCUUUAUGAUCUUGACAUGGGUCUAUUUGAUCAGUUAUUUCAAAAACAAAUUCUUCACUAUGUUGCACUCCUCUUCAGAAUUCAUAUAUACUUCAUUCGCAGAGACGUGUAGAUUCCAAAAUUUGGAUUUCUCUAUGGUGUGGUGACUUGUCAUAGAAACAACAUUGAGGUGCUGAGGUCUCAAUAAAAAGAAAAACCAUUCAAACACGGUUGAUAGAUGAAUAAUAAUCAUGAAAGACGGUCCUUAGAUCAAUCUUGUGGUGGGGGCUCAAAAGGCAUGUUCUAAACAACAUUUUCGUUGCUUUUUUGUUUUUCCUCCUUCAUAUUGCUCUACUUGAGAUACCUCAAUAAGAAGUCUUUUGUAGUUUAUUUUAUUUUAUUUUGCUGUUACUGUUAAUCUUGUUUUUUGGAUAGUAUCUAAGAUGUAUUGCAGUAUAAUGGUUUUUUCUAGUGCCAAGGUUUUGUAUAGCUCUGUUGAGGUAAAAUUCAAGAAAAUGUUUGGAAGUUCACUUCACAAAUGAAUUUUAAUUUGUAAGUUGGCUUA